ACCAUCCUUUUCUUGGGGUUGCGUUACUGUCCAAUGAACGUCUAGUGAGGGCAGUACUGCUAACGCCUGGAUAAUUGUGGCAAAGAAAAUUGUAUGUCCUGAGAACAUGAUUAUAUAACUGUUAAAUCAUUUAUAUGUUGCAUUUAUGUAUUUAUGCAUAA